GGGGGGAGGCCGGAUCCUGGGCUGUGUCCCGGCGCCCUGGGCUCCGGAGCCUGCGCUGUUGGAUUCGCGCUCCCGGGCCGCGCAGCCCCCU
rnacentral:pre_miRNA from 1 species